rnacentral:rRNA from 1 species
AACGUAGGAGACAAACGUUAUCCGGAGUUACUGGGCGUAAAGGGCGUGCAGGUGGCUUGAUAAGUUCGGCGUGAAAUUUCCCGGCUUAACCGGGGGAUGUCGUCGGAGACUGUCGAGCUAGAGGGCGAUAGAGGCGUGUGGAAUUCCGGGUGUAGUGGUGAAAUGCGUAGAGAUCCGGAGGAACACCAGUGGCGAAGGCGACACGCUGGGUCAUACCUGACACUAAAACGCGACAGCAUGGGGAGCGAACGGG